GCCAGAAACCAUCUUGUGCUUUAGUACUCUUAGAAAUGAUGUUCUCCAGCCGGUACUCUGCAGACUGACCGCGUGAAACUGGGCCAUACAGCAGACAUUACACCCACCCUCAGUGGCAGAUUGAGAUUCAGGCUUAUGAAACUCAGCAGGCAGAAAUGAGACUGUCAUGUCACACCAGCUACAAGAUUUGCCUCCACUUGUCUAAUCUGUACACUUGCCCACUGACGCCACGGCCCAAGACUCCCCAAGGGACAUGAUUUGGAAGUAAUUGACUGACUCUCCGUAAUCCCCUACUCGAGUGCUUGACGGUGGCAAUGGGCGGGAAGAGGAAAAGGACCGAAUAGCGGAAAGCCCUUCCAUUCUUCUCUAUCUCAAAUCCAGGAAGGGGGGAAAGAAAAAGUUCGACCAUUCUUGACGACGUGGUUUUUGGCUGAUUACUAUUGACAUUGAUCGUAUUCAGCUAGUUCUAGGUGAAGAAAACUACGCUGUAACGCAAACAUUCUCACUCGCCACCCCAUUACGAACGGCGGUGUAUUUUUUCUUUCUUUUUUUUUUUAAAAAAAAAAAUUCAUAAUACAAAAUGGAUAGCU
rnacentral:sRNA from 1 species